AUGCAGUCGAGCGAACAGAGAAGGAGCUUGCUCCUUUGACGUUAGCGGCGGACGGGUGAGUAACACGUGGGCAACCUACCUUAUAGUUUGGGAUAACUCCGGGAAACCGGGGCUAAUACCGAAUAAUCUGUUCCACCUCAUGGUGGAACACUGAAAGACGGUUUCGGCUGUCGCUAUAGGAUGGGCCCGCGGCGCAUUAGCUAGUUGGUGAGGUAACGGCUCACCAAGGCGACGAUGCGUAGCCGACCUGAGAGGGUGAUCGGCCACACUGGGACUGAGACACGGCCCAGACUCCUACGGGAGGCAGCAGUAGGGAAUCUUCCACAAUGGGCGAAAGCCUGAUGGAGCAACGCCGCGUGAGUGAAGAAGGUUUUCGGAUCGUAAAACUCUGUUGUAAGGGAAGAACAAGUACAGUAGUAACUGGCUGUACCUUGACGGUACCUUAUUAGAAAGCCACGGCUAACUACGUGCCAGCAGCCGCGGUAAUACGUAGGUGGCAAGCGUUGUCCGGAAUUAUUGGGCGUAAAGCGCGCGCAGGCGGUCCUUUAAGUCUGAUGUGAAAGCCCACGGCUCAACCGUGGAGGGUCAUUGGAAACUGGGGGACUUGAGUGCAGAAGAGGAAAGUGGAAUUCCAAGUGUAGCGGUGAAAUGCGUAGAGAUUUGGAGGAACACCAGUGGCGAAGGCGACUUUCUGGUCUGUAACUGA
rnacentral:rRNA from 1 species